rnacentral:rRNA from 1 species
UGGGGAAUCUUGCGCAAUGGGCGAAAGCCUGACGCAGCGACGCCGCGUGGGUGAUGAAGGCCUUCGGGUCGUAAAGCCCUGUCAAGAGGGACGAAACCUCGCCGACCUAACACGUCGGCGACCUGACGGUACCUCUGAAGGAAGCACCGGCUAACUCCGUGCCAGCAGCCGCGGUAAUACGGAGGGUGCGAGCGUUGUUCGGAAUUACUGGGCGUAAAGCGCGUGUAGGCGGCCUCCUCAGUCUGGUGUGAAAGCCCGGGGCUCACCCCCGGAAGUGCAUUGGAUACUGGGAGGCUGGAGUACCGGAGAGGAGGGUGGAAUUCCUGGUGUAGCGGUGAAAUGCGUAGAUAUCAGGAGGAACACCGGUGGCGAAGGCGGCCCUCUGGACGGAUACUGACGCUGAGACGCGAAAGCGUGGGGAGCAAACAGGAUUAGAUACCCUGGUAGUCCACGCCGUAAACGAUGGGCACUAGGUGUUCGGGGUAUUGACCCCUGAGUGCCGCAGCUAACG